GAAAGAAUUGCUGUACACGUGUACUGCAUGUUUGUUUCACGUGAAUUUCCUUCAUAUGUCAAGUGUGUUCACAUGAUUAUUUAGGUGUAGAAACCGCUGUAGCAUUUACUGUGUGCUCAAUUGUUGUGCGGCCAUUUUGUUUUGUUUGUUGCGCUUGUUGUUUAAAAUUUUGGAAUGUGGAAAAUAUAACAUCAAAAAUAUUCUGAAAAUUGGACUUGUUUAAGGUUCUAUGAUGGUGUCGACACAAAUGUUUCAUGCACCCAAACGGGCUCAUGUAUUGUUGUCGAAAGGCUUAGGAGGAUUUCUUUGGUUCUGGGUGUUAUGGAGAUUAAAACAUGAUUAUCAUGAUAUAAUUGGUCAUCAUCAUGCUUUAGGACCAAUUGAAUUACCUCCAGUUGAAGAUGAGUGAGGAUAUUUUGAUCAUUUUAUCCGUGUUUGCUCUCGGAAAUAUUAAAUUGAACUGUUAACAUAUUUUGGAAAAAAUUUUGAGAUUUACUUUUUGGUGCAGCAGAAAAACUAUUGUAUUCAUUUGUUUUAUUAUACAAUUUUGUCCAAGAAA